rnacentral:rRNA from 1 species
ACUCCUACGGGAGGCAGCAGUGGGGAAUCUUGCGCAAUGGGCGAAAGCCUGACGCAGCGACGCCGCGUGCGGGAAGAAGGCCUUCGGGUUGUAAACCGCUUUCAGGAGGGACGAAGCCACUCGGGUGAAUAGCCCAGAGGGUGACGGUACCUCCAGAAGAAGCCCCGGCUAACUACGUGCCAGCAGCCGCGGUAAUACGUAGGGGGCUAGCGUUGUCCGGAUUUAUUGGGCGUAAAGAGCGUGUAGGCAGCCAGAUAGGUCUGCUGUGAAAACUCGAGGCUCAACCUCGAGCUGUCGGCAGAAACCAUCUGGCUAGAGUCCGGAAGAGGAGAGUGGAAUUCCCGGUGUAGCGGUGAAAUGCGCAGAUAUCGGGAAGAACACCUGUGGCGAAGGCGGCUCUCUGGGACGGUACUGACGCUGAGACGCGAAAGCGUGGGGAGCAAACAGGAUUAGAUACCCUGGUAGUCCACGCCGUAAACGAUGGGUGCU